AGCGAACGCUGGCGGCAGGCCUAACACAUGCAAGUCGAACGAACUCUUCGGAGUUAGUGGCGGACGGGUGAGUAACACGUGGGAACGUGCCUUUAGGUUCGGAAUAACUCAGGGAAACUUGUGCUAAUACCGAAUGUGCCCUUCGGGGGAAAGAUUUAUCGCCUUUAGAGCGGCCCGCGUCUGAUUAGCUAGUUGGGGAGGUAAAGGCUCACCAAGGCGACGAUCAGUAGCUGGUCUGAGAGGAUGAUCAGCCACAUUGGGACUGAGACACGGCCCAAACUCCUACGGGAGGCAGCAGUGGGGAAUCCUGCGCAAUGGGCGAAAGCAUGACGCAGCCAUGCCGCGUGAAUGAUGAAGGUCUUAGGAUUGUAAAAUUCUUUAACCGGGGACGAUAAUGACGGUACCCGGAGAAGAAGCCCCGGCUAACUUCGUG
rnacentral:rRNA from 1 species